rnacentral:ncRNA from 1 species
AUAAAAGCUAAGACCGUGCAAAGUAGAGAACCGGUUUCUGUCAGAGAGGGAAGAUCACCGGCUGCGAGUUUUCCCAAGUUCAAUCGGCAAUCGAAUUUCCCACGUGAGCUGCAUUUUUGAAAGACCAGUAGAAAAUGCCGUAUGUUGUACGUUACACAAGCACGAGUGCCUGUGACAGAUGUUGCAGGAAGCAGGGUGGUACCGCGAGUAAUAUACCUCGUCCCUUUG